rnacentral:rRNA from 1 species
CCUACGGGAGGCAGCAGUAAGGAAUCUUCCACAAUGGACGAAAGUCUGAUGGAGCAACGCCGCGUGCAGGAUGAAGGCUUUCGGGUCGUAAACUGCUUUUAUAUGGGAAGAUUAUGACGGUACCAUAUGAAUAAGGACCGGCUAACUACGUGCCAGCAGCCGCGGUAAUACGUAGGGUCCAAGCGAUAUCCGGAAUUACUGGGCGUAAAGCGUGUGUAGGUGGAUUAAUAAGUGUGAUGCGAAAUCCGGCGGCUCAACCGUUUGGACUGUGUCGCAUACUGUUAGUCUAGAGGACGGCAGAGGUAAGUGGAAUUACGGGUGUAGCAGUGAAAUGCGUAGAUAUCCGUAGGAACACCAAUGGCGAAGGCAGCUUACUGGGCCACACCUGACACUGAGACACGAAAGCGUGGGGAGCGAACAGGAUUAGAUACCCUGGUAGUCCACGCGUAACGAUGCAUACUAUAUAGUGGGUAGUCGACCCGUCGUGCUGAGAGACUACGCGAUAGUAUGCGCCGUCGGGAGGUACGAGCGCGAGAACGUUAAACGUACGUUAAAGAAGUUAGUUAGGCGUGNGACGNGCCGACGGACGACGACGAGGGAGGAGG